AAUGAGAUUAGAACACAUAUCUAAGGAUUUUGUUACGCAUAUUGUGGAACUGACUCAGUAGUUCAUAUACCUUCUACUAGAAAACAUGGUCAAGCCCAUCAGUAGUGUGAAUUUAUUUCAUAAUAUAUGAAAUAUUUUUUAAAUUAAUUUAAUAAAAAGGUAGUAUGUGCAGCUACAUAUAUUCAGUUAAUUUAAAAAGGCUAAAAUAAAGAAGCACACGUGAUCAGUCUUAUAUUUAUAUUUAUUUCAAUAAUAAGUGCUUACAUAAUGUAAUAUGGAGGUAUUUUAAAUGAAAUUAAAUUCCUUGAAUUCAUAAGGAAUCUCAUCGGUAUAUUUUCACAAAAUUUUUUUUAAUGCAGUCGGCAAACACUUGACGUAUCAUGUAUAUUGUUGUAUGAAAGUAUGAA